rnacentral:rRNA from 1 species
UACAGAGGUCUCAAGCGUUGUUCGGAUUCAUUGGGCGUAAAGGGUGCGUAGGCGGCGCGGUAAGUCGGGUGUGAAAUCUUGGAGCUUAACUCCGAAACUGCAUUCGAUACUGCCGUGCUUGAGGACUGGAGAGGAGACUGGAAUUUACGGUGUAGCGGUGAAAUGCGUAGAUAUCGUAAGGAAGACCAGUGGCGAAGGCGGGUCUCUGGACAGUUCCUGACGCUGAGGCACGAAGGCAGGGGAGCAAACGGG